rnacentral:rRNA from 1 species
AUAUCAAUAAGCGGAGGAAAAGAAACUAACAAGGAUUCCCCUAGUAACGGCGAGUGAACCGGGAAGAGCUCAAAUUUGAAAUCUGGCGUCCUUCGGGCGUCCGAGUUGUAAUCUAUAGAGACGUUUUCCGUGCCGGACCGUGUCCAAGUCCCUUGGAACAGGGUAUCAAAGAGGGUGACAAUCCCGUGCUUGACACGACCACCGGUGCCAUGUGAUACGUCUUCUACGAGUCGAGUUGUUUGGGAAUGCAGCUCAAAACGGGUGGUAAACUCCAUCUAAGGCUAAAUAUUGGUGGGAGACCGAUAGCGCACAAGUA